GGUGUAGAGUUGGCAUGGGGCGCGGUGAGAUGGAUGGUGGGAGUGUGAAUGGGAGGUACUGUGCGGAAAGGGUGUGGUGGCGGCUUGUGAAGGGGAGUGUGAAAUGCCCUGGCUUAAGGUGGGAAUGGGGCGUGAAACGAGGGUGCUGGAGGGUGGCAUAGGGGGGUGGAAGUCCACGUGUAGGUGUGAAAGGCGUAGAGAUGUGGAGGAACACCGAUGGCGAAGGCAGCCCCCUGGGCCAACACUGACGCUCAUGCACGAAAGCGUGGGGAGCAAACAGGAUUAGAUACCCUGGUAGUC
rnacentral:rRNA from 1 species